UACGAAGGGGGCUAGCGUUGCUCGGAAUCACUGGGCGUAAAGCGCACGUAGGCGGAUUGUUAAGUCAGGGGUGAAAUCCUGGAGCUCAACUCCAGAACUGCCUUCGAUACUGCGGGUCUCGAGUCCGGGAGAGGUGAGUGGAAUUCCUAGUGUAGAGGUGAAAUUCGUAGAUAUUAGGAAGAACACCAGUGGCGAAGGCGGCUCACUGGCCCGGUACUGACGCUGAGGCGCGAAAGCGUGGGGAGCAAACAGG
rnacentral:rRNA from 1 species